AGUUUGAUCCUGGCUCAGGACGAACGCUGGCGGCGUGCCUAAUACAUGCAAGUCGAACGCUUCUUUUUCCACCGGAGCUUGCUCCACCGGAAAAAGAGGAGUGGCGAACGGGUGAGUAACACGUGGGUAACCUGCCCAUCAGAAGGGGAUAACACUUGGAAACAGGUGCUAAUACCGUAUAACAAUCGAAACCGCAUGGUUUUGAUUUGAAAGGCGCUUUCGGGUGUCGCUGAUGGAUGGACCCGCGGUGCAUUAGCUAGUUGGUGAGGUAACGGCUCACCAAGGCGACGAUGCAUAGCCGACCUGAGAGGGUGAUCGGCCACAUUGGGACUGAGACACGGCCCAAACUCCUACGGGAGGCAGCAGUAGGGAAUCUUCGGCAAUGGACGAAAGUCUGACCGAGCAACGCCGCGUGAGUGAAGAAGGUUUUCGGAUCGUAAAACUCUGUUGUUAGAGAAGAACAAGGAUGAGAGUAACUGUUCAUCCCUUGACGGUAUCUAACCAGAAAGCCACGGCUAACUACGUGCCAGCAGCCGCGGUAAUACGUAGGUGGCAAGCGUUGUCCGGAUUUAUUGGGCGUAAAGCGAGCGCAGGCGGUUUCUUAAGUCUGAUGUGAAAGCCCCGGCUCAACCGGGGAGGGUCAUUGGAAACUGGGAGACUUGAGUGCAGAAGAGGAGAGUGGAAUUCCAUGUGUAGCGGUGAAAUGCGUAGAUAUAUGGAGGAACACCAGUGGCGAAGGCGGCUCUCUGGUCUGUAACUGACGCUGAGGCUUGAAAGCGUGGGGAGCAAACAGGAUUAGAUACCCUGGUAGUCCACGCCGUAAACGAUGAGUGCUAAGUGUUGGAGGGUUUCCGCCCUUCAGUGCUGCAGCUAACGCAUUAAGCACUCCGCCUGGGGAGUACGACCGCAAGGUUGAAACUCAAAGGAAUUGACGGGGGCCCGCACAAGCGGUGGAGCAUGUGGUUUAAUUCGAAGCAACGCGAAGAACCUUACCAGGUCUUGACAUCCUUUGACCACUCUAGAGAUAGAGCUUCCCCUUCGGGGGCAAAGUGACAGGUGGUGCAUGGUUGUCGUCAGCUCGUGUCGUGAGAUGUUGGGUUAAGUCCCGCAACGAGCGCAACCCUUAUUGUUAGUUGCCAUCAUUUAGUUGGGCACUCUAGCAAGACUGCCGGUGACAAACCGGAGGAAGGUGGGGAUGACGUCAAAUCAUCAUGCCCCUUAUGACCUGGGCUACACACGUGCUACAAUGGGAAGUACAACGAGUCGCAAAGUCGCGAGGCUAAGCUAAUCUCUUAAAGCUUCUCUCAGUUCGGAUUGUAGGCUGCAACUCGCCUACAUGAAGCCGGAAUCGCUAGUAAUCGCGGAUCAGCACGCCGCGGUGAAUACGUUCCCGGGCCUUGUACACACCGCCCGUCACACCACGAGAGUUUGUAACACCCGAAGUCGGUGAGGUAACCUUUUGGAGCCAGCCGCCUAAGGUGGGAUAGAUGAUUGGGGUGAAGUCGUAACAAGGUAACC
rnacentral:rRNA from 1 species